rnacentral:rRNA from 1 species
UACGUAGGGUGCAAGCGUUAUCCGGAAUUAUUGGGCGUAAAGAGCUCGUAGGCGGUUUGUCGCGUCUGCUGUGAAAACUGGAGGCUCAACCUCCAGCCUGCAGUGGGUACGGGCAGACUAGAGUGCGGUAGGGGAGAUUGGAAUUCCUGGUGUAGCGGUGGAAUGCGCAGAUAUCAGGAGGAACACCGAUGGCGAAGGCAGAUCUCUGGGCCGUAACUGACACUGAGAAGCGAAAGGCAUGGGGAGCGAACAGG